CGGUAAUACCAGAUAAUGUCCUUCNGGGACCANAAGAUUUAUCGGCAUUGGGGAGCGGCCUAUCUCCUAUCAGCUUGUUGGUGAGGUAACGGCUCACCAAGGCAACGACGGGUAGCGGGACUGAGAGGUUGGCCCGCCACAUCGGGACUUGAGAACACUGCCCGGACCUCCACGGAGGGCUGCAGUAACGGAUAUUGGGCAAUGGGCUGAAAGCCUGACCCAGCAAUGCCGCGUGCAGGAUGAAGCCCCUAAGGGGGUGUANAACUGGCUGUUCAAGCGGCGUCAGAAAGCUGGUUUCGGCCAGUUGAUCAACCCCAGAAGGAAGUCACGGCUAACUUCGUGCCAGCAGCCGCGGUAAUACGAAGGUGGCAAGCGUUAUUCGGAAUCAUUGGGCUUAAAGGGCACGCAGGCGGAACAGUGUGUGUUGUGUGAAAUCCCCCGGCUUAACCGGGGAAUUGCACAGCAAACUGCUGUUCUUGAGGCAGGUAGGGGUGCAUGGAACUCUUGGUGGAGCGGUGGAAUGCGUAGAUAUCAAGAGGAACGCCAGAAGUGAAGACGGUGCACUGGGCCUGUCCUGACGCUGAGGUGCGAAAGCGUGGGGAGCGAACGGGAUUAGAUACCCCGGUAGUCCACGCCGUAAACGAUGUCUACUAGGUCGUGGGUGUUCUGACACAUUCACGGCCGGAGCAAAAGUGUUUAGUAGACCGCCUGGGGAGUACGGCCGCAAGGUUAAAACUCAAAUGAAUUGACGGGGGCUCACACAAGCGGUGGAGCAUGUGGAUUAAUUCGAAGCAACGCGCAGAACCUUACCUGGGUUUGACAUGCUUGUAUGCCUUCUCUGAAAGGAGUUAGGCUGCCUUCGGGUGAAACUUGCACAGGUGCUGCAUGGCUGUCGUCAGCUCGUGUCGUGAGAUGUCGGGUUAAGUCCUUUAACGAGCGAAACCCUUGCCGUUAGUUGCCAGCGAGUAAUGUCGGGGACUCUAACGGGACUGCCGGUGUUAAACCGGAGGAAGGUGGGGAUGACGUCAAGUCCUCAUGGCCUUUAUGCCCAGGGCUUCACACGUGCUACAAUGGCAAUUACAGAGCGACGCGAUACCGCGAGGUGGAGCAAAUCGCAAAAAAAUUGCCUCAGUUCGGAUUGCAGGCUGGCAAUUCGCCUGCAUGAAGUCGGAAUCGCUAGUAAUCGCGUAUCAGCAAUGACGCGGUGAAUGUGUUCCUGAGCCUUGUACACACCGCCCGUCAAGUGAUGGAAGCCGGGAGUACCCGAAGUCGGGUUGCUAACCUUUGGGAGGCGCCUGCCGACGGUAAGUUCGCUGACUGGCACUAAGUCGU
rnacentral:rRNA from 1 species